UAUCACAGGGCAUUCACCCACUAUGGUAUUAGGAGUAAUAUCUCCCUAAAAUAUUACAAAUAAUAUCACAGUGGGUGUACACACAUGGUGUA
rnacentral:miRNA from 1 species